rnacentral:lncRNA from 1 species
AGAGAUACUAUUUGAGGUGUUAUAGUAUAGUAACCAUCACUCUCAACAAAUACACACCAAUUACACAAUAACGAAUAAGACUGAGUUUGGACUUUCAAGGAGCUUGCUAUCUACUGGAGAAAGAAACCAGGAUCUUACGGUAUGGAGCGGUAUACACAUGGCAGAGCUAGAGCUUAGAGCUAUGGGAGCUCACAAAAGGGCAUCCUAUCUAGUGCUAGUGGAGGGAACGAAGGGAGUGUCAGAGAAGGUUCCUCAAUAAUAGAAUAAGGAGUUGGCCAAGGAUAAGAAGUGUUGGAAAAAGCCUACAGCUACAAACCAGCUGGGGUGGGUGCUCUGAACUGGCUCUCAGCAUCCACUCCAGACCUCUAGUGUGUUUUCUUUUUAUAGAGAAAAUUUAUUUAUUUAUUUAUUCAUUCAUUCAUUCAUUCAUUCAAGGACACACACACACACACACACACAAAGGCAGAGGCACAGGCAGAGGGAGAAGCAGGCUCCAUGCAGGGAGCCGGACGUUGGACUCGAUCCGGGGUCUCCAAGAUCAGGCCCUGGGCUGAAGGCAGCGCUAAACCGCUGAGCCACUGGGGCUGCCCUCUAGUGUGUUUUCUGACCCUGCAGGGGCUAAAGAAGGAAAAACUACAUUUCCCCCACCUCUCUGCAGCUAGAGUUUUGCUUUUGCCAAUUAGAAGCACUUGAAAGGUGAAUGCAAGGCUGGAGUCACCUAUUUUAUUUCUGAUGCAAACUCACUGUAGACCCAUCUGGCUUUUCUGCAGCAUUAUUUCAGUGUCUAGGUACUAACUUCAUGGGUGUUGAGAGGUAGUCACAGUGGUGGCAGUGCUUUCUAGUCCUUGGCUCACAGCUACAGUGGCAUGUCUUUGAAUUCCGCAGUACCAAUGGAGUCCACUGAUGGGCACCUUUCUGAUUAUUGCAGAGGUAGCAGCUCCUCCAGUAGGUCACAACAGCAGUCCUAGGAAUCAUUCCUGGAGAUGCCCUGAGGGACCCAAUAACUCUUUCCAAUGAUUUGCUCAGCUCCUCAUUCCCUGUAUUAAAUCCCCUUUUGCUUAAAAUGGUGUGAGUGGUUCCUACUUCUUGCACCUAACACAGCAACAAAAUAUAAAAAUGCAAAAUGGGCCAUGAAUAAUAUAAUUUAUGGGGGUUAGUAAUGUCUUCUGUAAUGGACCAAGACAGUAUUUUAAGUAUAGUGGGUCACUAACGAUCUUCACCUCUCCUUCCUCCCCCUCCUCCUCAGUGCUAAAUAUAUUCAUUGCUAUGCGGCAAUCUUCGGAACAUUUUCAUUUUGAAAAACUGAAACUCUACACUUCUUAAAUAGUAAUUCCCCAUUCCCUCCCCACUUCCUCUCCUCUCCUGGUCCCUGGCAACCUGUUUCUGUAAAUUUGACUACUUUAGACACCUCACGUAAGUGGAAUCAUAUGGUGUUUUUUUUGUGUGUGUGUGUGACUUUGCUAGCUCAUUUCACCUAGCAUAAUGUCCUCAAAAUCCAUGUUGUAGCAUGUGACAGGAUUUCCUUCCUUCCUUUGUAAAGCGGAAUAAUAUUCCAUUGUAUGGAUAUGACACGUUUUGUUUAUUCAUUCCUCUGUUUAUGGACAUUUGGGUUGCUCCCCCCUCUUGGCUAUUAUGAAUAGUGCUGUUACAAACAUGGGCACGUAAGUAUCUCUUCAAGAUCUUGUUUUCAAUUCUUUUGGAUAUACACUCAGGAAUGGGAUUGCUGGGUCAUAUGGUAAUGCUAAUUUUUAACUUUUUUAGGAACCACACUGUUUUCCAAAAGAGCUGUUCCUACCAAUGGUGCAAAAGGGUUCCAAUUUAUCCACAUCCUUGUUAACACUUGUUAUUUUCUGGUUCUUUUGAUAGUAGCUAUCCUAAUGAGUAUGAGGUGACCUUUCACUGUGGUUUUGAUUUGUACUUCCCUAAUGAUUAGUGACAUCAUUUCAUAUGAGCAUCAUUUCAUAUGCUUGUUGGCAAUUUGUAUAUCUUCUUUGCCCAUUUUGAAAUUGGGAUAUAAAGGGCACCAGGCUAGCUCAGUUGGUAAAGUAUGUGACUCGAUCUCAAAGUUCAUGAAUUCAAGCCCCACGUUGGGUGUGGAGCCUACCUAAAAUUAAAAAAAAAAUAAAAAA